CCUACGGGUGGCAGCAGUGAGGAAUAUUGGUCAAUGGGCGCGAGCCUGAACCAGCCAAGUAGCGUGAAGGAUGACUGCCCUACGGAUUGUAAACUUCUUUUAUAAAGGAAUAAAGUGAGGCACGUGUGCCUUUUUGUAUGUACUUUAUGAAUAAGGAUCGGCUAACUCCGUGCCAGCAGCCGCGGUAAUACGGAGGAUCCGAGCGUUAUCCGGAUUUAUUGGGUUUAAAGGGAGCGUAGAGGGGUUGUUAAGUCAGGUGUGAAAGGUGGGGGCUCAACCGUAAAAUUGCAAUGGAUACUGGCAGUAUUGAGUACAGGAGAGGUAGGCGGAAUGCGUGGUGUAGCGGUGAAAUGCUUAGAUAUCACGAAGAACUCCGAUUGCGAAGGCAGCUUACUAAACUGCCACUGACAUUGAGGCUCGAAAGUGUGGGUAUCAAACAGGAUUAGAUACCCGGGUAGUC
rnacentral:rRNA from 1 species